UGACUCAAAUGAGUUGAUGGGUCA
rnacentral:siRNA from 1 species